UUGUACGAAUAUUGACGAGAGAGAAAGAGUCAAUUACUCCUCUAGAGACUCGACGGUUCAUAUUUUAAAUAAUACAGCAAGGUUUAUGACGGAUGAUGUGAUGUCUGGCUUUACCGUGAAGGGAAAAGGGAGAAAAUGACUUCCCAAAAGCAGUUUUUCAAGAUGUUCAAGCAAGUGUCACUGUGUUUACUGCUGCUGAACAUGAGGUUGAUGGGGCAAUUGGAUCCUUUCUGAAGUACGCCCCAGACAGACAAGCAGGUGGAGGACGACGAACUGUUUAAACAAGUUAAUUAACAUACAUCUCUAA